rnacentral:rRNA from 1 species
AGUGAACGCUGGCGGUAGGCCUAACACAUGCAAGUCGAACGGCAGCACAGUAAGAGCUUGCUCUUACGGGUGGCGAGUGGCGGACGGGUGAGGAAUACAUCGGAAUCUACUUUUUCGUGGGGGAUAACGUAGGGAAACUUACGCUAAUACCGCAUACGACCUACGGGUGAAAGCAGGGGAUCUUCGGACCUUGCGCUAUUGAAUGAGCCGAUGUCGGAGUAGCUAGUUGGCGGGGUAAAGGCCCACCAAGGCGACGAUCCGUAGCUGGUCUGAGAGGAUGAUCAGCCACACUGGAACUGAGACACGGUCCAGACUCCUACGGGAGGCAGCAGUGGGGAAUAUUGGACAAUGGGCGCAAGCCUGAUCCAGCCAUACCGCGUGGGUGAAGAAGGCCUUCGGGUUGUAAAGCCCUUUUGUUGGGAAAGAAAAGAAGCAGGUUAAUACCCAGCUGUUCUGACGGUACCCAAAGAAUAAGCACCGGCUAACUUCGUG